rfam:Triticum aestivum genome assembly, contig: Triticum_aestivum_CS42_TGACv1_scaffold_001401_1AL
GAGCCAUGAUGGGGGCUUGCUUACAUCAUGUACUUAAGCCUCCCCCAAGCUUGACUGAUGCUUUCUCCUUCACGAGGCCAAAAAUUAUAUAUAUAAUAUAUAAUUCC